rnacentral:rRNA from 1 species
UCCUACGGGAGGCAGCAGUGGGGAAUUUUCCGCAAUGGGCGAAAGCCUGACGGAGCAAUACAGCGUGAGGGAAGACUGCCUAUGGGUUGUAAACCUCUUUUUUCAGGGAGGAAUAAAUGACGUGUACCUGAAGAAUAAGCAUCGGCUAACUCCGUGCCAGCAGCCGCGGUAAGACGGAGGAUGCAAGUGUUAUCCGGAAUCACUGGGCGUAAAGCGUCUGUAGGUGGUUUAAUAAGUCAACUGUUAAAUCUUGAGGCUCAACUUCAAAAUCGCAGUCGAAACUAUUAGACUAGAGUAUAGUAGAGGUAAAGGGAAUUUCCAGUGGAGCGGUGAAAUGCGUAGAUAUUGGAAAGAACACCGAUGGCGAAAGCACUUUACUGGGCUAUUACUAACACUCAGAGACGAAAGCUAGGGUAGCAAAUGGGAUUAGAUACCCCAGUAGUCCUAGCCGUAAACUAUGGAUACUAGAUGUUGAACAGAUCGACCUGUGCAGUAUCAAAGCUAACGCGUUAAGUAUCCCGCCUGGGAAGUAUGCUCGCAAGAGUGAAACUCAAAGGAAUUGACGGA